rnacentral:lncRNA from 1 species
GCAAGCACCGCGCGCAGCCCCGGUUUCCGCUCGCGCCUCUCCCUCCACACCUGCCCACAAGCUGAGGGAGCCGGCUCCGGCCUUGGCCAGCCCGGAAAGGGGCUCCCACAGUGCAGCGGCAGGCUGAAGGGUUCCUCAAGUGCCGCCAAAGUGGGAGCCCAGGCAGAGGAGGCGCCAAGAGCGAGCGAGGGCUGUGAGGACUGCCAGCACGCUGUCACCUCUCAGUACCACCAAUAUCAUGAUUAUUGAAUGAGGUUGCCUUGAUAAUUCUGCUGAUCUUGCCUGGCUUUACUAAUGUGCCUGAGGUUGUCUAGAAGAUGAAAUGGAAUGGGUGGAUUUGGUGGAAUAGGUGGAUUCGGUGGAAUGGAUGGAUUCAGUGGAAUGGGUGGAAUAGGAAGACGAAGGCUGGAGUUGGAUAAUGAUCCUUCUAUUAUGAGCUUUGCAUUCAGCACCACUGACAAAUCAUAAAAGAGGGAAGAAACUACAGACGCACAAGAACAGAUGAAAAAAAGACUUGCAAACAGAAAAUCAACACCCACCAUGCUUCAAGGACCCUGGCUGCAAAAACAUUGUUCUUUCAUUUUAAUGGAGCUCUCCAUUUUCAAAUCUAUCUUGAGACAAGCAAAUUGCAUGCCUGUUUUGUCUGGUCUGCAUAAUAAGUAUCCCUGCACACAACUGUAUACAUACAGCUUAAAGGAGGGUUUUCUUGGUUCUUUUUUGUUUUGUUUCUUCUUUAAAUGCCCUAUUUUGAAACAUGACUUAGGAUAGUAUUUGUGUUUUUUUUCUCUUGAGUAAUC